rnacentral:rRNA from 1 species
UACGUAGGGUGCGAGCGUUAAUCGGAAUUACUGGGCGUAAAGCGUGCGCAGGCGGUUUUGUAAGACAGGCGUGAAAUCCCUGGGCUUAACCUGGGAAUGGCGCUUGUGACUGCAAAGCUGGAGUGCGGCAGAGGGGGAUGGAAUUCCGCGUGUAGCAGUGAAAUGCGUAGAUAUGCGGAGGAACACCGAUGGCGAAGGCAAUCCCCUGGGCCUGCACUGACGCUCAUGCACGAAAGCGUGGGGAGCAAACAGG